GGUUCAAUGGUCUAAUGGUUAUGAUUUCUGUCUCACACGUUGUGCACAGAAGGUUCCCAGUUCGAUCCUGGGUUGAACCA